rnacentral:rRNA from 1 species
ACGUAGGGGGCGAGCGUUAUUCGGAAUUACUGGGUGUAAAGGGUAUGUAGGCGGCCCUUUAAGUCGGGAGUCAAAGUCAAGUGCUCAACGAUGGGAGUGCGCGCGAUACUGUAGAGCUAGAGUGCUGGAGAGGUAGGCGGAAUUUCCGGUGUAGUGGUAAAAUGCGUAGAGAUCGGGAGGAACACCAGCGGCGCAGGCGGCUCACUGGACAAUUUCUGACGCUAAGACGCGAAAGCGUGGGGAGCAAACAG